rnacentral:rRNA from 1 species
UACGGGGGGGGCAAGCGUUGUUCGGAAUUACUGGGCGUAAAGGGCUCGUAGGCGGCCAACUAAGUCAGACGUGAAAUCCCUCGGCUUAACCGGGGAACUGCGUCUGAUACUGGAUGGCUUGAGGUUGGGAGAGGGAUGCGGAAUUCCAGGUGUAGCGGUGAAAUGCGUAGAUAUCUGGAGGAACACCAAUGGCGAAGGCAGAUCUCUGGGCCGUAACUGACGCUGAGGAGCGAAAGCAUGGGGAGCGAACAGG